ACAAGAGGAGAUAAGGGAGGGAAAUUAGUAAUGUUAAAGACUGGGGAGUCUUGUAUAGCAACCUGCUUCUGUUUGUUCCCACCAUCAGCUGCAGCUAUAAUGCUUGUCUCCUUUGAUACCUCUUGACACUGGAUUUGAGACAUCUGGUUACUCUGGACCACUGUGACUGGUGCUUUCACUCUCCAUUCCUGUGUCACCUUGCUUUUCUGUGCAGGUUGAGCAGUUUUAGCCAAACAGUUGUGUCCAACCNNN
rnacentral:lncRNA from 1 species